AUUGAACGCUGGCGGCAGGCCUAACACAUGCAAGUCGAGCAGAUGAAGGGAGCUUGCUCCUGGAUUCAGCGGCGGACGGGUGAGUAAUGCCUAGGAAUCUGCCUGGUAGUGGGGGAUAACGUCCGGAAACGGGCGCUAAUACCGCAUACGUCCUGAGGGAGAAAGUGGGGGAUCUUCGGACCUCACGCUAUCAGAUGAGCCUAGGUCGGAUUAGCUAGUUGGUGGGGUAACGGCCUACCAAGGCGACGAUCCGUAACUGGUCUGAGAGGAUGAUCAGUCACACUGGAACUGAGACACGGUCCAGACUCCUACGGGAGGCAGCAGUGGGGAAUAUUGGACAAUGGGCGAAAGCCUGAUCCAGCCAUGCCGCGUGUGUGAAGAAGGUCUUCGGAUUGUAAAGCACUUUAAGUUGGGAGGAAGGGCAGUAAGUUAAUACCUUGCUGUUUUGACGUUACCAACAGAAUAAGCACCGGCUAACUUCGUG
rnacentral:rRNA from 1 species